rnacentral:rRNA from 1 species
GGUCCCGCCUGCCCUGUGACUAUAUGUUUAACGGCCGCGGUAUUUUGACCGUGCGAAGGUAGCGCAAUCACUUGUCUUUUAAAUGAAGACCCGUAUGAAUGGCACGACGAGGGCUUAACUGUCUCCUUUUUCUGGUCAAUGAAAUUGAUCUCCCCGUGCAGAAGCGGGGAUAUUAACAUAAGACGAGAAGACCCUAUGGAGCUUUAGACACAAAGCAGACCACACCAAAUACCCCAAAAUAAAGGGACAACUAUUAGUGGCCCCCUGCUCAACUGUCUUUGGUUGGGGCGACCGCGGGGAAAAACAAAACCCCCACGUGGAACGGGAGAACAUCUCCCACAACCAAGAGCUACCGCUCUAAGUAACAGAAUCUCUGACCAGAAUGAUCCGGCAACGCCGAUCAACGAACCGAGUUACCCUAGGGAUAACAGCGCAAUCCCCUUCCAGAGCCCCUAUCGACAAGGGGGUUUACGACCUCGAUGUUGGAUCAGGACAUCCUAAUGGUGCAGCCGCUAUUAAGGGUUCGUUUGUUCAACGAUUAAAGUCCUACGUGAUCUGA